AUUGAACGCUGGCGGCAGGCCUAACACAUGCAAGUCGAGCGGAUGAAGGGAGCUUGCUCCUGGAUUCAGCGGCGGACGGGUGAGUAAUGCCUAGGAAUCUGCCUGGUAGUGGGGGAUAACGUCCGGAAACGGGCGCUAAUACCGCAUACGUCCUGAGGGAGAAAGUGGGGGAUCUUCGGACCUCACGCUAUCAGAUGAUCCUAGGUCGGAUUAGCUAGUUGGUGGGGUAAAGGCCUACCAAGGCGACGAUCCGUAACUGGUCUGAGAGGAUGAUCAGUCACACUGGACCUGAGACACGGUCCAGACUCCUACGGGAGGCAGCAGUGGGGAAUAUUGGACAAUGGGCGAAAGCCUGAUCCAGCCAUGCCGCGUGUGUGAAGAAGGUCUUCGGAUUGUAAAGCACUUUAAGUUGGGAGGAAGGGCAGUAAGUUAAUACCUUGCUGUUUUGACGUUACCAAAAGAAUAAGCACCGGCUAACUUCGUG
rnacentral:rRNA from 1 species